AAACACAUAAGUCUGUUCCAAAGUUUUUCUUGUUUUAGUUCUGUUGGAAGUGUCUGUUCUUGGCUGUUUCUCCAGAUCUGAAUCUGUUCUGACUUUUGGUUUCUCUGUCUGUAGCGAGGCCGGUCGAGAGAUGUAGACUGUCACUGCCAGAUGCACAGAGUGCUCAGCCAGAGACCUCUGUACGUUCUAAGCGUAGGUCACUGGUGGCCGCUCAACCGGCUCAGAAACCGGCAUCUGAACAAACUAAAUCUAAAUCACUGCUGAGUAAGUGCAUCUCAAUGUAAUAUUAGUUUCGUGAAAGUGUGAAGUCUGCAAUGUUUGAAGAAAUAAUUGUUUUCAUUGCUUUUUACAAAACUGGAAGUGUAAUUAUUUGUUUAUAAGCCUCACCAAACCACAGCACUAAACAGAGAGCACUAAACGAGUUUAUGUCACUUAACAGUUAACAAGAUGUGAAAUGAAUUUGUUUUUUAGGGAAACUGUAUCAAGUCCUGUCUCGUA